rnacentral:rRNA from 1 species
UUAAGCGACUAAGCGUACACGGUGGAUGCCCUGGCAGUCAGAGGCGAUGAAGGACGUGCUAAUCUGCGAUAAGCGUCGGUAAGGUGAUAUGAACCGUUAUAACCGGCGAUUUCCGAAUGGGGAAACCCAGUGUGUUUCGACACACUAUCAUUAACUGAAUCCAUAGGUUAAUGAGGCGAACCGGGGGAACUGAAACAUCUAAGUACCCCGAGGAAAAGAAAUCAACCGAGAUUCCCCCAGUAGCGGCGAGCGAACGGGGAGCAGCCCAGAGCCUGAAUCAGUAUGUGUGUUAGUGGAAGCGUCUGGAAAGGCGCGCGAUACAGGGUGACAGCCCCGUACACAAAAAUGCACAUGCUGUGAGCUCGAUGAGUAGGGCGGGACACGUGGUAUCCUGUCUGAAUAUGGGGGGACCAUCCUCCAAGGCUAAAUACUCCUGACUGACCGAUAGUGAACCAGUACCGUGAGGGAAAGGCGAAAAGAACCCCGGCGAGGGGAGUGAAAAAGAACCUGAAACCGUGUACGUACAAGCAGUGGGAGCACAGAGCAAUCUGUGUGACUGCGUACCUUUUGUAUAAUGGGUCAGCGACUUAUAUUCUGUAGCAAGGUUAACCGAAUAGGGGAGCCGAAGGGAAACCGAGUCUUAACUGGGCGUUAAGUUGCAGGGUAUAGACCCGAAACCCGGUGAUCUAGCCAUGGGCAGGUUGAAGGUUGGGUAACACUAACUGGAGGACCGAACCGACUAAUGUUGAAAAAUUAGCGGAUGACUUGUGGCUGGGGGUGAAAGGCCAAUCAAACCGGGAGAUAGCUGGUUCUCCCCGAAAGCUAUUUAGGUAGCGCCUCGUGAAUUCAUCUCCGGGGGUAGAGCACUGUUUCGGCAAGGGGGUCAUCCCGACUUACCAACCCGAUGCAAACUGCGAAUACCGGAGAAUGUUAUCACGGGAGACACACGGCGGGUGCUAACGUCCGUCGUGAAGAGGGAAACAACCCAGACCGCCAGCUAAGGUCCCAAAGUCAUGGUUAAGUGGGAAACGAUGUGGGAAGGCCCAGACAGCCAGGAUGUUGGCUUAGAAGCAGCCAUCAUUUAAAGAAAGCGUAAUAGCUCACUGGUCGAGUCGGCCUGCGCGGAAGAUGUAACGGGGCUAAACCAUGCACCGAAGCUGCGGCAGCGACGCUUAUGCGUUGUUGGGUAGGGGAGCGUUCUGUAAGCCUGUGAAGGUGUGCUGUGAGGCAUGCUGGAGGUAUCAGAAGUGCGAAUGCUGACAUAAGUAACGAUAAAGCGGGUGAAAAGCCCGCUCGCCGGAAGACCAAGGGUUCCUGUCCAACGUUAAUCGGGGCAGGGUGAGUCGACCCCUAAGGCGAGGCCGAAAGGCGUAGUCGAUGGGAAACAGGUUAAUAUUCCUGUACUUGGUGUUACUGCGAAGGGGGGACGGAGAAGGCUAUGUUGGCCGGGCGACGGUUGUCCCGGUUUAAGCGUGUAGGCUGGUUUUCCAGGCAAAUCCGGAAAAUCAAGGCUGAGGCGUGAUGACGAGGCACUACGGUGCUGAAGCAACAAAUGCCCUGCUUCCAGGAAAAGCCUCUAAGCAUCAGGUAACAUCAAAUCGUACCCCAAACCGACACAGGUGGUCAGGUAGAGAAUACCAAGGCGCUUGAGAGAACUCGGGUGAAGGAACUAGGCAAAAUGGUGCCGUAACUUCGGGAGAAGGCACGCUGAUAUGUAGGUGAAGUCCCUCGCGGAUGGAGCUGAAAUCAGUCGAAGAUACCAGCUGGCUGCAACUGUUUAUUAAAAACACAGCACUGUGCAAACACGAAAGUGGACGUAUACGGUGUGACGCCUGCCCGGUGCCGGAAGGUUAAUUGAUGGGGUCAGCGCAAGCGAAGCUCUUGAUCGAAGCCCCGGUAAACGGCGGCCGUAACUAUAACGGUCCUAAGGUAGCGAAAUUCCUUGUCGGGUAAGUUCCGACCUGCACGAAUGGCGUAAUGAUGGCCAGGCUGUCUCCACCCGAGACUCAGUGAAAUUGAACUCGCUGUGAAGAUGCAGUGUACCCGCGGCAAGACGGAAAGACCCCGUGAACCUUUACUAUAGCUUGACACUGAACAUUGAGCCUUGAUGUGUAGGAUAGGUGGGAGGCUUGGAAGUGUGGACGCCAGUCUGCAUGGAGCCGACCUUGAAAUACCACCCUUUAAUGUUUGAUGUUCUAACGUUGACCCGUAAUCCGGGUUGCGGACAGUGUCUGGUGGGUAGUUUGACUGGGGCGGUCUCCUCCUAAAGAGUAACGGAGGAGCACGAAGGUUGGCUAAUCCUGGUCGGACAUCAGGAGGUUAGUGCAAUGGCAUAAGCCAGCUUGACUGCGAGCGUGACGGCGCGAGCAGGUGCGAAAGCAGGUCAUAGUGAUCCGGUGGUUCUGAAUGGAAGGGCCAUCGCUCAACGGAUAAAAGGUACUCCGGGGAUAACAGGCUGAUACCGCCCAAGAGUUCAUAUCGACGGCGGUGUUUGGCACCUCGAUGUCGGCUCAUCACAUCCUGGGGCUGAAGUAGGUCCCAAGGGUAUGGCUGUUCGCCAUUUAAAGUGGUACGCGAGCUGGGUUUAGAACGUCGUGAGACAGUUCGGUCCCUAUCUGCCGUGGGCGCUGGAGAACUGAGGGGGGCUGCUCCUAGUACGAGAGGACCGGAGUGGACGCAUCACUGGUGUUCGGGUUGUCAUGCCAAUGGCACUGCCCGGUAGCUAAAUGCGGAAGAGAUAAGUGCUGAAAGCAUCUAAGCACGAAACUUGCCCCGAGAUGAGUUCUCCCUGACUCCUUGAGAGUCCUGAAGGAACGUUGAAGACGACGACGUUGAUAGGCCGGAUGUGUAAGCGCAGCGAUGCGUUGAGCUAACCGGUACUAAUGAACCGUGAGGCUUAACCUU